AACAAUAUCCUGAUGCUGACUGAGUGGGCUUUGCAGACUCCAGCAUCAGUGAUUUUGUUGU
rnacentral:pre_miRNA from 1 species